AACGCACCUUGCGCUCCUUGGUAUUCCGAGGAGCAUGCCUGUUUGAGUGUCAUUAAAUUCUCAAACCUCUUGUUGGUUUUAUAUCGACGGAGAGGCUUUGGAUGUGGGAGUCCUUGCUGGCUUGUUCAGCUCUCCUUAAAUACAUCAGUGGUUUCUAACCCUAUCUUGGUGUUGAUAGUCUAUCUACGCCUCGAAUAUCUGGGUUAAGUGUAACCGCUUUCUAACUGUCUUCGGACAACAUUGACUAUUUGACCUCAAAUCAGGUAGGACUACCCGCUGAACUUAA
rnacentral:misc_RNA from 1 species